CACCGGCGGCCCGAGUGGUGAUCGUGAUUAUUGGGUCUAAAGGGUCCGUAGCCGGUUUGGUCAGUCCUCCGGGAAAUCUGACAGCUCAACUGUUAGGCUUUCGGAGGAUACUGCCAGACUUGGAACCGGGAGAGGUAAGAGGUACUACAGGGGUAGGAGUGAAAUCUUGUAAUCCCUGUGGGACCACCUGUGGCGAAGGCGUCUUACCAGAACGGGUUCGACGGUGAGGGACGAAAGCUGGGGGCACGAACCGG
rnacentral:rRNA from 2 species